UGGGGAAUCUUGGACAAUGGGGGCAACCCUGAUCCAGCGAUGCCGCGUGGGUGAAGAAGGCCUUCGGGUUGUAAAGCCCUUUAGGUUGGGACGAAGUUUGGUGGGGGAUAAUCCCAUCAGAUUGACGGUACCGACAGAAUAAGCACCGGCAAACUCUGUGCCAGCAGCCGCGGUAAUACAGAGGGUGCGAGCGUUAAUCGGAGUUACUGGGCGUAAAGGGCGCGUAGGCGGUGAGAUGAGUGUGAUGUGAAAGCCCCGGGCUUAACCUGGGAAGGGCAUCGCAAACGAUCUGACUGGAGUAUAGGAGAGGGUGGUGGAAUUUCCGGUGUAGCGGUGAAAUGCGUAGAGAUCGGAAGGAACGUCAAUGGCGAAGGCAGCCACCUGGCCAAAUACUGACGCUGAGGCGCGAGAGCGUGGGGAGCGAACAG
rnacentral:rRNA from 1 species